CUAGUCUUAUCGGUGGAUCACUCGGCUCGUGGAUCGAUGAAGAACGCAGCCAACUGCGAUAAUUAGUGUGAACUGCAGAAACCUUGAACACAGAACUUUCGAAUGCACAUUGCGCCAUUGGAGUGACAUCCAUUGGCACGCCUGGUUCAGGGUCGCAAC
rnacentral:rRNA from 1 species